rnacentral:antisense_RNA from 1 species
GAUGUUGAAAAGGAGAGACUCUAUGGAGUGUGGAUGUAGAAAAGGAGUUAUUCCUACUGGAAAAAAAUGAACUGUGGACACAGUCACUCCAGAGAAACAACCACUAUGAGUAAGUAGCUUCAAUUUCACUGUUACCAGGAGGGCACACACCAGAAAGCCUGGGACAAAGCCUGGGCUAGAGCCCUCAGGAUUCAUUCUCAGGCUUCCUGGUGCUGUGGUUCAACAGCCUUUGUAGGGAUGGGGAGAACCAGAGACUAUCACCAUCACGUGUAAAAAAUAUUACCACAGCAACAGCUGUCAAAAACCAGCUGGAGCUGAAGUUACACACCAUUUGAAAUCCACACUGUACUUGCUUUCUUGUGAUGGGCUUGAGACAUGUGCAGAGACACCUUAAACAUGUGUAGGUGACCACCCUUUUGAAAGGCAGAGGAGGGCCUCUUCGUGAACUCUUUCUACUCAUUUAUUUUCCUAUCAGUUCACCAUUUCAACUAGAAAAGAUGC